rnacentral:rRNA from 1 species
GAUGUCCUACGGGACGCAGCAGUGAGGAAUAUUGGUCAAUGGCCGAGAGGCUGAGCCAGCCAAGUCGCGUGAGGGAUGACGGCCCUACGGGUUGUAAACCUCUUUUGUCGGGGAGCAAGACCCGCCUCGUGCAGGCGGAGCGAGAGUACCCGAAGAAAAAACAUCGGCUAACUCCGUGCCAGCAGCCGCGGUAAUACGGAGGAUGCGAGCGUUAUCCGGAUUUAUUGGGUUUAAAGGGUGCGCAGGCGGACCAUCAAGUCAGCGGUAAAAUCGAGGGGCCCAACCCCAUCCCGCCGUUGAAACUG